rnacentral:rRNA from 1 species
UUUUUAUGAGAGUUUGAUCCUGGCUCAGGACGAACGCUGGCGGCGUGCCUAAUACAUGCAAGUCGAACGCUUCUUUUUCCACCGGAGCUUGCUCCACCGGAAAAAGAG